AACGAACGCUGGCGGCAGGCUUAACACAUGCAAGUCGAACGCACCUUUCGGGGUGAGUGGCAGACGGGUGAGUAACGCGUGGGAAUCUACCCUUCUCUACGGGAUAGCUCCGGGAAACUGGAAUUAAUACCGUAUACGUCCUGAGGGAGAAAGAUUUAUCGGGGAAGGAUGAGCCCGCGUUGGAUUAGCUAGUUGGUGGGGUAAAGGCCUACCAAGGCGACGAUCCAUAGCUGGUCUAAGAGGAUGAUCAGCCACAUUGGGACUGAGACACGGCCCAAACUCCUACGGGAGGCAGCAGUGGGGAAUAUUGGACAAGGGGCGCAAGCCUGAUCCAGCCAUGCCGCGUGAGUGAUGAAGGCCCUAGGGUUGUAAAGCUCUUUCAGUGGGGACGAUAAUGACGGUACCCACAGAAGAAGCCCCGCCUAACUUCGUG
rnacentral:rRNA from 1 species